CCCGCGGCCGCCGAGGCCGUUAGGGCCUCUCCCUCCCCGCCAGCAGCCGGCCCUCCGCGCCGCCACUGGUUGCCAUGGGGACGCGGCCGGAACAAGCCGCCGCCGCGGAGGGAUGAAAUUGUUUUGGAAAGGAUGAGGAGAGCAGGAAGUUCCUGAGUCUAAAGGAGUGGAAGAGUGUGACCAGAGUGCUGGUAUGAGAUGGCAAGAGAGCUCAACGCUGAAAGAGAAUUAGAGGACACAGCAAGAAACUGCCCAUUUAUGCCAUGUGAAAGGUACUGUGGAAGAAGAAGGAUCCAGGGAGAGAAGAGUGCAAAGAAAACUUCAUCUGAAAUAAGCAAGUGUCCUUGGCGGCUGGCACAGCUAUAUGUGACCUGGCCUCCACUACCAGGCUCGCUCCCGUGAGAGUCUGACUUGGAAGUAGACACCUCGAGGAAGGGGCCCCAUGUGGAAACCAUUUGGCUGGUGAGGGCAUGGCAGAAUCAUGCAGCUCUGGAGGGCAGCCACACGGUUGUAUUUCAGAGCGGCACCUGCACCAGUGGAGCAAGCAGUGUUGCACAUUUUCUUUUCUUAGGGCAGCCUGUCACAUGCCUUUACCCAUUGUUCCUAGAAGCUUGGCACCCCCAUGAGCUACCCAACUGACUGAGUCAGUCUGUCCUCUGUGAGUAACAACCCUGGGAACUGCAGAGGCAAAUAGAGAAGAAAAGCUCAAGAACUUGGAAUGGUUGCCUUCUGGAGUGGUAAAUCAAGAGUGGGAAGAGGUGGACCAGGAGACUAUUGUUUUGUAUUAUAAGCCUUUGUUUUCCUGUUGGGCUUUCUAACCAUGACUAUUACAAUUUCUAACCAUGUACACGGGUGAGUUUGAUAAGCAUUAAAAUUGAAACAACAAGAAAGAAAACAGACAAUAAGAACUAUCUUUUGGAGAGUGUAAAUGCGCUACACAAUGUUACCUCUCGCUUGUUAGUCUGUGGGAGACGUUACUUGUUGAUAACAGCUCUAUUUCCCUCCAGGGUCUGGAAACAGACUCACAAACCUUCCCGAUAUCUGUUUCUAGGUAUAAUGAAGCUGGGUCUUCGGAUGAAAACUAUUUGCCACUCUUGGCCUAAGAGGAAAUACUCAAUCUCAGGACUUGCAUUCCUGAACUUACGUGAAAACAAGACCAGAAUAUGUUUUAUGGUAUACUAAAUUAGAACGUAUAUCUUGGUAUACCUAAUUCUGACAAAUAACCUUAAUUAAGAGAUGUAUGUCACCACUAUAGAACUCUAUUAUUCCAGUGAAAUUGCUACAGUUGAAAAAAACCCAUUUAGGUUUCUCACCAUGAACAUGAAGAUAAACUUGGAAACUUUACAGCACUAUGAUUAAUAGAAUUUUAUUACUUCAGAGUUUUCAGGGUGGUGCAAAUCUCCUCACUAGCAAUACUGGCAUAACACUAUAGAAGAAAAAAAAUGUUUCUUCAAGUCAACAUGUAGUUAAUUCACAUUUGGAGAUAAGAAUACCGUGACAACAUGACAAUUUAAUGAAUUUUGAAUAGCUUUAGAAAGGGGAUUAUUAAAAGAAAAAGAAAAGAAGUGUUUUGUGGUAGAAAAACAGCACACCAGAAUUAUCUGGACAAUUUUUAACAGUCAUUUGCAAGGACUUAUUUUUCCUUUCUUUUAUCAUAAUUUCCUUCCUUCCUCCCUCCCUCCCUUCCUUCCUUCCUCUCUUUCUUUCUUUUAAUUUCAUUUUUACUACUACAGUGGUUGUAUUAUUUGCCUAUGAUGAAAAUGAGUUUCUGUACAAGA